rnacentral:rRNA from 1 species
CUACCCGGGUAUCUAAUCCUGUUUGCUCCCCACGCUUUCGCGCCUCAGCGUCAGGUGCAGGCCAGAGAGCCGCCUUCGCCACUGGUGUUCCUCCACAUCUCUACGCAUUUCACCGCUACACGUGGAAUUCCGCUCUCCUCUCCUGCCCUCAAGUCCCCCAGUUUCCAAUGACCCUCCACGGUUGAGCCGUGGGCUUUCACAUCAGACUUAAGAGACCGCCUGCGCGCGCUUUACGCCCAAUAAUUCCGGACAACGCUCGCCCCCUACGUAUUACCGCGGCUGCUGGCAC